rnacentral:rRNA from 1 species
GAUGAACGCUGGCGGCGUGCUUAACACAUGCAAGUCGAACGGAAGGGCCAGUGCUUGCACUGGUACUCGAGUGGCGAACGGGUGAGUAACACGUGGGUGAUCUGCCCUGCACUUCGGGAUAAGCCUGGGAAACUGGGUCUAAUACCGGAUAGGACAAUGGUUUGGAUGCCGUUGUGGAAAGUUUUUUCGGUGUGGGAUGAGCUCGCGGCCUAUCAGCUUGUUGGUGGGGUAAUGGCCUACCAAGGCGUCGACGGGUAGCCGGCCUGAGAGGGUGUACGGCCACAUUGGGACUGAGAUACGGCCCAGACUCCUACGGGAGGCAGCAGUGGGGAAUAUUGCACAAUGGGCGCAAGCCUGAUGCAGCGACGCCGCGUGGGGGAUGACGGCCUUCGGGUUGUAAACUCCUUCCGCUAGGGACGAAGCGUAUUUGUGACGGUACCUGGAGAAGAAGCACCGGCUAACUACGUG